rnacentral:lncRNA from 1 species
AGAAUGUCAGGAGAACCCUGGCAGGAGUGGCUUUAAAACACUCCUGGAGUUUUAAGAGAAAGGAGCAGAAGAAACAGAGUGGAAGGGCCUAGGUGGAGAUGGUGGAGGAGACACUGGAGACGCCCUAUCUGGAGAAGCCGUGUGGUCAUUGCUGAGCAGUCUCUCGGUCCAGGGCAGAGAGUGCUGAGCAGACACUUGAAACCUGCCAUCCAGAGGAGACAGGCAGUCACUUCAGUCCCCCCAGGGAUGUCACUGUCAAGACAGAGAACUGACCUUUCUAUGGAGCAUCAUAUCUGCCUUUUGGGACAGUAGCUAUGGGAACAGAGGACAGGCAGGGAGGAAAGAACAAAGGUUUUCAGCAGAAACAAGUCUAGCUGGUUUGAGAAACAAAAGGGGUGCAGUGGAGAGGAGAUAGUGUUACCACCUGAAGUGGAAGAGACAA